AUGGCCCAAGUUAAUUCCACCACAGAUCACGUCGACCUGGAGAGGAAUUCCAAGGAUCUGACCAUGGCUGCCUCUGCAGGCCACGCACAAGGUCACUCAACCACCGAUCUUGACGCCCUGCUGGAGCUGUCAGAGGAGCAGGAAGAAGAAGAAGAAGAAGAAGAAGAAGAGUUGGAGGCGGAGGAGUUUAUAUCUUUAAUGGAAGGUAGGGCGGCGGCGGCAGAGGCAGCCCUCGAUGAGUUACUGGCCCGGAAAAGGAGCAAGGGUGGUGAUGUUAAACAAAAGGCUCGGAUGGCAGACGGGGACGUCAACUUCAUCCUGUCUCUCAAAAGGAAAGAGCUUGGCGGCAUGGAGCACCUGGACUGCACGAGCCACCAUUACACGCCGGAGCGGAUGGAGGAGAAGCGCCGGCUGCACGAGGAGAUAGUGGUCAUUUGCCAAAAGAUCGACGACGAGAUUGAGGAGCGCCAGGCCCAGAUCAUCAGAGAUCUGAGCGAGAAGGGCUACGCCGAGGCCAGUGAGGACUACCUGGCCGACGACGAGGAGUUCAACGAGUUGGAAAGGAUAUACUGGGAGAGCCUCAUGGCGGCGAGCGAGAGACGCAUGGACGAGAGACGACGCAUGAGACUCGCUGCCGCACGAACGGAGGAUGAGGUUGAAGGCUUCACCGUCAAGCCACACCAUCUUGAUCUCUGA
rnacentral:rRNA from 1 species